UCCCUGGUGGUCUAGUGGUCAGGAUUUGGCACCCUCACUGCCAUGGCCUGGGUGGAUUCCCAGCCAGGGAA